CUAUGUUUUCUUCUAGGAGUUUUAUAGUUUCAGGUCUUAUAUUUAAGUCUUUAAUCCAUUUUAAGUUUAUUUUCAUAUAUGGUGUAAGGAAGUGGUCAGUUUCAUUCUUUUUCGUGUUUCUGUCCAGUUUUCCCAGCACCAUUUAUUGAAGAGACUGUAUUUUUCCCAUUGUAUAUUCUUGCCUUCUUUGUAAUAUAUUAAUUAAUCUUUUUCACAGAACUAGAACAAAGAAUCCUAAAAUUUGUAUGGAACCACAAAAGCCCCCAAAUAGCCAAAGCAAUCUUUAAAAAGAAGAACAAAGCUAGAGGUAUCAUGCUUCCUGAUUUCAAACUAUACUACAAAGCUAUGGUAAUCAAAACAGUAUGGUACUGGCACAAAAACAGACACAGAUCAAUGGAACAGAAUAGAGAGUGCAGAAAUAAAUCCACGCCUAUGUGGUCAAUUAAUCUAUGACAAAGGAGGAAGGAAUACACAAUGGAGAAAAGAGUCUCUUUAAUAAAUGGUGUUGGGCAAUACCAUAUUUUAAAAUUGCCUGGUCCUCUGCCACCACCUCCUUACUAACCUUUGUGAUUUUCAAACCCACUCACUUAAACCAGCAGUGCUUUCUCAAGAGUCACACAGCAAUCAGUGGUAAAACUAACACCUCUCCUCCUGAAAUAAUUAUUUUCCUUCCUGAUUAGUGACAUUUUGAAUAAAUUGCUUGAAGGCUAUAUUUGUGAAUGAGAUAGAAAGAAGGAGAUGAUUGAGAAGUAAUUAUGAGGUGGAGUUUUUCCAACAUUGUAAAUUCCGUGAUCUGAGAUUAAGCCUCUUUGGUCUUGGGAAAGUUAGAACUUCAGUUUCCUUAGGAGGGAUUGUCUUGCCUUAAAAGUUCAACUCAGAGAUAAAGGAGGCCAGAGUUUGGUGAGUCCAAGCAGCAGAAUGAGAGUGGGCCAUAUCCACACUUCAGGGAGCCAAGGCAGUGUCUUCCCCUUUGAAGUUCUCCAUUAACUCAACUCCAGAUCUAAUGCUUCUAUACAAGAACCACAGCUCCCCUCAUCCACACGUAACGCCCACUCCGAGGUGCCCUAAUGGAAGAUCUGAAACUCUUGGUGUGCUGGUAAAUGUUUAGCAACCAGCUCCGGAGAGGCAAGAGGAGCUCUGAUUACAGCAUUUACUGAUUUCCAUGGUGGGAAUACAUUUACCACAGCUGAUUUCAGGCUACUAAUGUGAGGUCACUGAAUUCAGACUUGGGAAGACAUGCUCACAAUCAGCCCUCACACAUCUCUCUGUUGACAUUUAUGUUUAGUGGUGAAAAAGAAGGCAGGCUCUGGAGAAAAACUGCCUGGGUUUAAAUCUUGUUUCCACGAUUGAUCGGCUAUGAAAACUUGGGAAAAUGCAACUUGAAGGUGACUCUGACUGGUUGGGUUUGUACCUCCACUUUCCAAGAAGAUGUGAUGUCCUCCUGUUCUAACAAAAAAAAUGUUGUUGCCAUAUUUUAUUUUGUGAACCAGAUAUAAUUGAAAGACACAAAUGGAUCUCAGUGCUUCAAGGGGCAGACUGUAAGACAUCUUUUUGCAACUUUUCAGAUUGUAUUGGCUUCACCUAUCUUCCAGACAGCCACCACCACAACCAACCUAUUCAAUACAGGGCCAUGAAUUUUUGCUAUCUGAGGCCAACCAGCCACACUCAAGUCUGUCUUCUCUUGCCACUUUCUAACUCAGAUUCAGAUGAAAUGCCACACCAAAGAGCAUUGGUUUUGGCUUCUGAGAAGGUGCUGAAGGUGUUAGAUGGUGCAAAGCAAUAGUGCUGAGGAGUUAACUCCUUGUGAGGCCAACUUCGACCAGUGAGAGGCAAGAGAUGAGACAAAGCCAGGCAGACAAAUUCUCUUUCUCUUCCUCACUCCAAUGGAAUGUUCUGAAUCAUGAUUUCACCACACAGGCUGGCCAAGUCAUCGACCUGCUAAGUGACCUGCUGUCUCUUUCAACUUCUUGAGAAGUAAUAGCCAGCAUGUCACCUUGCAUUACUUACCAUGCUUCUUGGCCUCACUUUCCUUUUCUCUCACUCUUGCUGCACGGACUUUUAUGUCUCAAAUAAAGCAUUAGCACUUACUCCUUGCCUCAGAUUCUAUUUUCUAGGGAACUCAAGUUAAACAACUACAUUAUCCAGACUCCUUUGAAGUUAGACGUGACCGUGCAACUGGAUUCUAACCAAUGGAAUAUAAGCAGAAAUUAUAUACACAACUUACAAACUUGGCACAUAAAAAUUUGCUCUUUUUCCCUACAAACAUACUAGAAAGGAAAAAGGAAAAGAAAAACCAGAGCCAUUUAGAAGCCUAUAUGUGGCAGAGCCUCUGUUAGCCUGAGUCUCUGAAUGACAGCGGAGGAGAGUGUCUACUGACUUGUUCACACUCCCACUACUAUUACAUGAACAAGAAAUAAGCUUCUAUGAUAUUUGAACCAUCAUAUAUUUGAGGCCUACUGGUCAUGGCAAUCAGCGUACCCUAGUUAAUAGACUUAUGCUGUCAUUAAACCAAUAACUACAAUUAGUAAAGAUCAAAGUCCUAAAAAAGUAUACUGCUAAGGCUGGAAGUCACAUUUUCCUUUUUUGCCUGCUUACCUGAAACCAUAUUUUAUUUGUAAAUUUGUGUAAAUGAAGUGAAACAACAAAGUCAUGAUACAUUUCUCCAAAAUUCACAGUUAAUAGGUCCUCUUUAAAAGCCACUCUUCAAUCCCUCUCCUCACACCUCCAGAAAAA
ensembl:lncRNA